GACGAACGCUGGCGACGUGCUUAACACAUGCAAGUCGAACGGUGAAGCGCCUUCCUUUUUGGUGGGUGUGGAUGAGUGGCGAACGGGUGAGUAACACGUGAGUAACCUGCCCCCUUCUUCUGGAUAACCGCAUGAAAGUGUGGCUAAUACGGGAUAUUCUGGGUCUGUCGCAUGAUGGGUCUGGGAAAGAUAUUGUUUCGGUGGGGGAUGGGCUCGCGGCCUAUCAGCUUGUUGGUGGGGUGAUGGCCUACCAAGGCGGUGACGGGUAGCCGGCCUGAGAGGGUAGACGGUCACACUGGGACAGAGACACGGCCCAGACUCCUACGGGAGGCAGCAGUGGGGAAUAUUGCACAAUGGGCGCAAGCCUGAUGCAGCGACGCCGCGUGAGGGAUGGAGGCCUUCGGGUUGUGAACCUCUUUCGCCAGUGAAGCAGGCCUGCCUCGUUUGUGGGUGGGUUGACGGUAGCUGGAUAAGAAGCGCCGGCUAACUACGUG
rnacentral:rRNA from 1 species